rnacentral:SRP_RNA from 1 species
GCCAGGCGUGGUGGUGCACGCCUGUAAUCCCAGCUACUCAGGAGGCUGAGGCAGGAGAAUCGCUUGAGGCGAGGAGUUUGAGGCUGUAGUGAGCUAUGAUCAUGAUCGUGCCACCGCACUCCAACCUGGGUGACAGAGUGAGACUCUGUCUCUU